UACGGAGGAUGCGAGCGUUAUCCGGAUUUAUUGGGUUUAAAGGGUGCGUAGGCGGGCUGUUAAGUCAGCGGUAAAAUUUGGAGGCUCAACCUCCACGAGCCGUUGAAACUGGCUGUCUUGAGAUGUCGAGAGGUAUGCGGAAUGCGUGGUGUAGCGGUGAAAUGCAUAGAUAUCACGCAGAACUCCGAUUGCGAAGGCAGCAUACCGGCGCCCAACUGACGCUGAGGCACGAAAGCGUGGGUAUCGAACAGG
rnacentral:rRNA from 1 species